rnacentral:rRNA from 1 species
UGCCAGCCGCCGCGGUAAUACAGAGGUGGCAAGCGUUGCUCGGUAUCACUGGGCUUAAAGGGCGCGUAGGCGGCGCGGUACGGUUCGGGUGAAAUCCCUCGGCUCAACCGAGGAACUGCCCGGGCUACGGCCGCGCUUGACAGCAUCAGGGGAAGGUGGAACUCCAGGUGGAGCGGUGAAAUGUGUAGAUAUCUGGAGGAACGCCGGUGGCGAAAGCGACCUUCUGGGGUGCUUGUGACGCUGAGGCGCGAAAGCUAGGGGAGCGAACGGGAUUAGAUA